CUACGGGGGGUGCAAGCGUUGUCCGGAAUCAUUGGGCGUAAAGGGUUCGUAGGUGGAAUUAUAAGUCUGGUGUGAAAGCCCACAGCUCAACUGUGGAACUGCACUGGAUACUGUUUUUCUUGAGUUAUGGAGGGGUUUGUGGAAUUUCUGGUGUAGAGGUGAAAUUUGUAGAGAUCAGAAAGAACACCGGUGGCGAAGGCGACAAACUGGCUAUUAACUGACACUGAGGAACGAAAGCGUGGGGAGCGAACAGAAUUAGAAACCCUAGUAGUCC
rnacentral:rRNA from 1 species